rnacentral:piRNA from 1 species
UCUUCGUAGAUGGCCGGUUUCAUGAUA